rnacentral:rRNA from 1 species
GAUGAACGCUGGCGGCGUGCCUAAUACAUGCAAGUCGAGCGAACGGACGAGAAGCUUGCUUCUCUGAUGUUAGCGGCGGACGGGUGAGUAACACGUGGAUAACCUACCUAUAAGACUGGGAUAACUUCGGGAAACCGUAGCUAAUACCGGAUAAUAUUUUGAACCGCAUGGUUCACACGUGAAAGUCGGUCUUUCUGUCACUUAUAGAUGGAUCCGCACUGCAUUAGCUAGUUGGUAAGGUAACGGCUUACCAAGGCAACGAUGGAUAGCCGACCUGAGAGGGACGUCCCACACCUGGGAAGUGAGGCUGAGCACCAACUCCUGCAGGGAGACGCGGUCGGGAAUCCUCCGCAAGGGGGCAAAGGCGAACAGUGGACAACCGGGUGAGGCAUGAAGGUCUUAGGACGGGAAAACGCUGAUAUUAGGGGAGAUGAUAAGUGUAAGUAACCGUGAAGAUAAUGACGGUACCUAAUCAGAAAGCCCCGGCUAACUACGUG